GACGAACGCUGGCGGCGUGCUUAACACAUGCAAGUCGAACGGAAAGGCGCUGCUGUUACCUUGUGCCCGAGUAGCGAACUUGUGAUUAACACCUGAGUAACCUGCCCUUGACAUUGUGAUAACUUCAGGAAACUGGGGCUAAUACAGGAUAGGUGCUCCUGCUGCAUAGUGGGGGAUGGCAAGUUUCGGCGGUUGGGGCUGGAUUCGCGGGUUAUCAGCUUGUUGGUGGGGUAGUGGCUUACCAAGGCUUUGACGGGUAGCCGGCCUGACAGGGUGACCGGCCACAUAGGGAGGGAGAUCGGCCCAGACUACUACGGGAGGCAGCAGUGGGGAAUAUUGCACAAUGGGCGGAAGCCUGAUGCAGCAACGCCGCGUGCGGGAUGACGGGCUUCGGGUUGUAAACCGCUUUCGCCUGUGACGAAGCGUGAGUGACGGUAAUGGGUAAAGAAGCACCGGCUAACUACGUG
rnacentral:rRNA from 1 species